AUAUUAUGGAUGUUUUUUUAGGGAAUGUUUUAUUUUGAGAAACAGAUAGCCAGAUUUUCAUUUAGUUAGGGCUUUCGUAUGUCUGAUCAUUGGCCAAAUUGGGAGUUUUAGAUUUAAGGUCCAUUGAGGUCAUCUCAUUUCACUAGUCAUAUACUAGUGGUGGACAUUCUUUUAUCGUGCUCUCGACCAUGUGUACAUAUUAUCAUAGUCCAACUUCAUUCUGAAGAACUGGUGAAGGAUUUUUUUUAAGUAAACAUCUCUUGUCCACUGUCUCACUCAGUCUAGAGCUGCCAAGAUAAUUUUUUUGUCUUUUGAGAAUAUUUUUCAUUACACAAUUUUUAAUCCCGGAUGAUUGUGACCGGCCAGACUUAAAUUCCUGUAAUUAUGCUGCCAGGUCCCGUCUGUAAAAUAUUUCUUUGUCGAUGUCUUAUAUUUUUAGCAUAAACAGCGAUGCGAAAGUUGUCGAAGCAUUGCGAGCGCCCUCUUGUGUUUUCCGUUGAAUAGAGCAUACACAGUUGCGUAACAAUUUGCAUAUGACAUGCAGUGCGAAAAAGCCUUUUAUUCCGUGCAGUGUCUCAAAAGCAUAGGGCUUCGGACGCACAUUCCGUGAAUUUUUCGCUAGUUUUCUUGGAGAGUAAGCAAGCAUGGGUAGGUCACUUGACUGCUUGUCGUUGCUGCUGCCAGCCACACCUUAUUGCGAGCCAGCUUGUCUAUAUUUUGCUGUGUUUCUCACGUGGUUUUGCCAUGGUUAGCACGCCGCAUGUGCAUACACAUAUCAUGUACAUGCAUAUCGUGUAGUUGCCCAAACAUCCCGAGGCAUAGGUACACAGGCCGCAACUGCUCCGGUAAGUGUUUCAACUUCGUAAAUUUUGAUGUUAUCUUAAAUAGCACUUUACGACACAUUUUUAUGCCAUGAAUACUCGAGGUUGGAAGCCAAGUCUGUAUGAAACAUUUUUAUGCCAUGAAAUAAAUAUCCCAGGUUGAAAGCCAAGUCUAUAUGAAAAUUGUGCAUAAGAUGACUUGAAUUUUCGAUACCGAACCUCCUGGUAAUAUUGACUGUAUACUUGUACAUACUUCGAUCCUAAAUACAUGUUUCUUGUAUGUUGAAUUAUAGGGUCAAUGCACUUUAUUGAACUCAAAUUUGGAUAGCGUGGAUGGAAAGAGAAAUAAUAGAAUGUUUUAGCCUGAAAUGAAACACAUGAGACAUAUAGAUGGAUGUACGAAUACAGAAUAUUGAAUACUCUUUUUAUGAGCCUUACUGUUUAAACAAACAAAUGUUAAGAUAUAGAUGUACGGUAUAAAAUGCAUUGUAAAUUCAUCAAUAUAGAAUAACUACGGAUGUGUACACAUGUACUGUGGAGAUGAAACUUUUUGAUGGCACUGAUGAUUAUUUAAUAUUCCUUCAUCGAAACAUUUAUUAGUAUUUAUGAGAUUACUUAAUAUGUACAGUAAUUUUAUUACAGCUACUGCUUGUGGUUCUGUGGUUCCUGAGUGGUCACAAAUAGAGAAGCCUUCUCGAGUAGACCAGUGUAUCCCUUAUCCAGCAUCCAUAAUAUUUGGACUGCUGAAGAAUGACUGUCGUUUUUUUGUAAUAAAAUUUUGAUCAAUUUAUAGUGGAAUAUAUACCCAGUGUCACUUUCAAAUUUCUGCGUAACCUUUCCAGCUCGGUUACA